GACGAACGCUGGCGGCGUGCUUAACACAUGCAAGUCGAACGGAAAGGCCCUGCUUUUGUGGGGUGCUCGAGUGGCGAACGUGUGAGUAACACGUGAGUAACCUGCCCUUGACUUUGGGAUAACUUCAGGAAACUGGGUCUAAUACCGUAUAGGAGCUCCUGCUUCAUGGUGGGGGUUGGUAAGUUUCGGCGGUUGUGGAUGGACUCGCGGCUUAUCAGCUUGUUGGUGGGGUAGUGUCUUACCAAGUCUUUGACGGGUAGCCGGCCUGAGAGGUUGACCGGCCACAUUGGGACUGAGAUACGGCCCAGACUCCUACGGGAGGCAGCAGUGGGGAAUAUUGCACAAUGGGCGGAAGCCUGAUGCAGCAACGCCGCGUGCGGGAUGACGGCCUUCGGGUUGUAAACCGCUUUCGCCUGUGACGAAGCGUGAGUGACGGUAAUGGGUAAAGAAGCACCGGCUAACUACGUG
rnacentral:rRNA from 1 species